ACUCAAAUGAAUUGACGGGGGCCCGCACAAGCGGCGGAGCAUGCGGCUUAAUUCGAUGCAACGCGAAGAACCUUACCAGGGCUUGACAUGCCGGGAAAUCCCCUAGAGAUAGGGGGUGCCUUCGGGCGCCCGGCACAGGUGGUGCAUGGCUGUCGUCAGCUCGUGUCGUGAGAUGUUGGGUUAAGUCCCGCAACGAGCGCAACCCCCGUCCCAUGUUGCCAGCGGGUAAUGCCGGGGACUCAUGGGAGACUGCCGGGGUCAACCCGGAGGAAGGCGGGGACGACGUCAAGUCAUCAUGCCCCUUAUGCCCUGGGCUGCACGCAUGCUACAAUGGCCGGUACAAUGGGCUGCGAUGCCGUAAGGCGGAGCGAAUCCCAAAAAGCCGGUCUCAGUUCGGAUCGGGGUCUGCAACUCGACCCCGUGAAGCCGGAGUCGCUAGUAAUCGCGGAUCAGCAACGCCGCGGUGAAUACGUUCCCGGGCCUUGCACACACCGCCCGU
rnacentral:rRNA from 1 species